rnacentral:rRNA from 1 species
UUCCGGAGAAGGAGCCUGAGAAACGGCUACUACAUCUAAGGAAGGCAGCAGGCGCGUAAAUUACCCAAUCCUAAAUCAGGGAGGUAGUGACAAGAUAUAACAACGCGAUUAAAUGUCGCGAUUGUAGUGAGGGUAUUCUAAAAAUAGCUUCGAGUACGAUUGGAGGGCAAGUCUGGUGCCAGCAGCCGCGGUAAUUCCAGCUCCAAUAGCGUAUAUUAAAGUUGCUGCAGUUAAAAAGCUCGUAGUUGAACUUCAUGAGCAGUAGGUAGCUUACUACCUGCUCUCUACCAGUCUUUCGACUGUUACUGUGAGAAAAUUAGAGUGUUUCAAGCAGGCUAUUGCAGGAAUACAUUAGCAUGGAAUAACGAAUGUACCUACAAUUUGGUUAAUUGUAGAUUACUAUUAAUAGGGACAGUUGGGG